UACGUAGGGGGCAAGCGUUGUCCGGAUUUAUUGGGCGUAAAGAGCGUGUAGGCGGCCAAGCAGGUCCGCUGUGAAAACUCGAGGCUCAACCUCGAGACGUCGGCGGAAACCCUCUGGCUAGAGUCCGGAAGAGGAGAGUGGAAUUCCUGGUGUAGCGGUGAAAUGCGCAGAUAUCAGGAAGAACACCCGUGGCGAAGGCGGCUCUCUGGGACGGUACUGACGCUGAGACGCGAAAGCGUGGGGAGCAAACAGG
rnacentral:rRNA from 1 species